rnacentral:rRNA from 1 species
GUCGGCGACCAUACCACGUUGAAAACACCGGUUCUCGUCCGAUCAUCGAAGUUAAGCAACGUUGGGCCCGGUUAGUACUUGCAUGGGUGACCGGCUGGGAAUACCGGGUGUUGCCGGCUUUU